rnacentral:tRNA from 1 species
CUUUUAAAGGAUAGCGGCCCUCC